GACGAACGCUGGCGGCGUGCCGAAUACAUGCAAGUAGAACGCUGAAGGAGGAGCUUGCUUCUCUGGAUGAGUUGCGAACGGGUGAGUAACGCGUAGGUAACCUGCCUGGUAGCGGGGGAUAACUAUUGGAAACGAUAGCUAAUACCGCAUAAGAGUAGAUGUUGCAUGACAUUUGCUUAAAAGGUGCAAUUGCAUCACUACCAGAUGGACCUGCGUUGUAUUAGCUAGUUGGUGGGGUAACGGCUCACCAAGGCGACGAUACAUAGCCGACCUGAGAGGGUGAUCGGCCACACUGGGACUGAGACACGGCCCAGACUCCUACGGGAGGCAGCAGUAGGGAAUCUUCGGCAAUGGACGGAAGUCUGACCGAGCAACGCCGCGUGAGUGAAGAAGGGUUUCGGAUCGUAAAGCUCUGUUGUAAGAGAAGAACGAGUGUGAGAGUGGAAAGUUCACACUGUGACGGUAUCUUACCAGAAAGGGACGGCUAACUACGUG
rnacentral:rRNA from 1 species